rnacentral:misc_RNA from 1 species
CAAAAACCGAAGCAGAAUUAUAAGAAGAAGAUAUUGGAUAGGUGAUGAGUGUGCGUGUGUAUCUUAUCUCCACGUUGGGUGUUUCAAGCUCUACCGACCGUGAUCUUUGCAGACAAUGCUGCUUCUGUUUCUGUGUCUCCACUAGUGGCAAAAAUUUUGGGGGAUAAUCUCAUAUAUCAAACAGAGUAUGUCUUCUGUGCAUCCAUGUGAUU